rnacentral:misc_RNA from 1 species
UACGUAGGGUCCAAGCGUUACUCGGAAUUACUGGGCGUAAAGCGUGCGCAGGCGGUUGUGCAAGACCGAUGUGAAAUCCCCGAGCUUAACUUGGGAAUUGCAUUGGUGACUGCACGGCUAGAGUGUGUCAGAGGGGGGUAGAAUUCCACGUGUAGCAGUGAAAUGCGUAGAGAUGUGGAGGAAUACCGAUGGCGAAGGCAGCCCCCUGGGAUAACACUGACGCUCAUGCACGAAAGCGUGGGGAGCAAACAGG